rnacentral:lncRNA from 1 species
GCAUGACCCGUACUGUCUCAAGUAUCUCCGCCUCUUGUUUGGCCAUCGACUGAGCGGCGAAGUCUCGCUCCAGUUUCACAGAAGUAAGUGUCUCGUCAAGAUUGGCGACUCGCCGUCUCAAUUCACCACAUUCUUUCGAAAGCUCGUCAAACUUAUUCUUAGCUUCUUCCUGGGACGUUUCUAGUUGGAGUCGCAGCUGUUCACCAAGUAGAUUGGCUUGAGAAAGCUCGUCCAAUAGACUCUGUUCUCGUUCCAGCAAACGAGUGACUUCCGCUUUAGUCUGAUUUGCUGUCACCACGUCCGACUGCUGUUCGAGUCGCAAAGAAGUAAGUUCUUCGUUGAGAUCGAUUUGCUGUGAGCGGAGCCUUUGUAGCUCCUCUUCACUCUUCUCAACCAUGUCGAUCAGUGCAAGAACACAAGUCUCCACGGAGGUGUUUUCGCCAGAGUCUUCAAUCACAUUCGUCACCAAUCUUUUCACGUUCUCGGUCUGAUCCGCAAGCUUCUUCUCCAACAAGCCAAAAUCUGACUGUAGCUUCAAGUUGCCCUCGUCUAAUCGUUCGGCAUACGUCUCAUGCAAAGAAGACAACUCCUCUAGCACGCGGACGAACUUUUCCUCGUGAGAAGUCACCCGACUAUCCAAAGUGCAUAAAGUGUCCAGGUAGCCGUCCUCAAGCCGUCCAAGCCUUCCAAAUGCUAUGUGAAGUCUAGACUCCAAGACGUCCUUGCCAAGAGCUUCCUUCUCACUGGACUUGUCAAGUUGUUGUUCCAGACUCCGCAUCUGCUCUUGAAGAAACCUGCUUCUGUUUUCGUAUGAAGAUUUUAAACCUGAGUUUUCGUCUUGCAGGUCCUCCACACGUUUCCUCAGGUCUUCUAUCAUGUCAGACUUGGCCGUAAGUUCUUUACUUGAAGACUUCUCAAGCGCCAGGAGCUGAUCUUUCAAAGCUUCCAGUUCUACCUUCAUCUCCUUCUGUGAUUCUUCCAACGUAACGCGCGUAGUCCAAAGUUCAGCUUCACCAACCUUGAGAUUUUGCAGAGAUGUAAGCUGAUCCAAGAGACGAGAAUUCUCCGCAGCUAGCGCAUCAACCUUUCCCCGAAUAAUUUUUUCCUGCUCCUCCGUGCUCUCAACACGUUGUUUUUCCUGUUGUAGCUGAUUUUCCAACGAUUCAAGCUUGGCUACGAGAUCUUCUUCCCUCUUUUUAGCAUCCUCCAGCUGCUGUUUUAACUCCUGCGAUAGAGAUGUAAGCUGAUAUACAAGACGAGAAUUCUCCGCUGCUAGCGCAUCUCCCUUUUCCCGACUAAGUUUUUCCUGCUCCUCCGUGCUCUCAACACGUUGUUUUUCCUGUUGUAGCUGAUUUUCCAACGAUUCAAGCUUGGCUACGAGAUCUUCUUCCCUCUUUUUAGCAUCCUCCAGCUGCUGUUUUAACUCCUGCGAUAGAGAUGUAAGCUGAUAUACAAGACGAGAAUUCUCCGCUGCUAGCGCAUCUCCCUUUUCCCGACUAAGUUUUUCCUGCUCCUCCGUGCUCUCAACACGUUGUUUUUCCUGUCGCAGCUGAUUUUCCAACGAUUCAAGCUUGGCUACGAGAUCGUCUUCCCUCUUUUUAGCAUCCCCCAGCUGUUGUUUUAACUCCUGCGAUAGAGAUGUAAGCUGAUCUACAAGACGAGAAUUCUCCGCUGCUAGCACAUCUCCCUUUUCCCGACUAAGUUUUUCCUGCUCCUCCGUGUUCUCAAAACGUUGUUUUUCCUGUCGCAGCUGAUUUUCCAACGAUUCAAGCUUGGCUACGACAUCUUCUUCCCUCUUUCU